GAAAUGCGAUAAGUAAUGUGAAUUGCAGAAUUCAGUGAAUCAUCGAAUCUUUGAACGCAUCUUGUGCUCCUUGGUAUUCCUUGGAGCAUGCCUGUUUGAGUAUCAUGAAAUCUUCAAAGUAAAUCUUUUGUUAACUCAAUUGGUUUCUACUUUGGUAUUGGAGGUCUUUGCAGCUUCACACCUGCUCCUCUUUGUUCAUUAGCUGGAUCUCAGUGUUAUGCUUGGUUCCACUCGGCGUGAUAAGUUAUCUAUCGCUGAGGACACUGUAAAAGGUGGCCAAGGUAAAUGCAGAUGAACCGCUUCUAAUAGUCCAUUGACUUGGACAAUACUUUUAUGAUCUGAUCUCAAAUCAGGUAGGACUACCCGCUGAACUUAAGC
rnacentral:misc_RNA from 1 species